AAAAAACCCCCGAAAAACAUUAGGUAUUGCCGACCGUAAUAUCAUAGUACGGUAAGUGAAGUGACCGACGUGGUUAAUGAUUGCGUGCAUAGAAUACCGGCGGAGAAGAAGGGAAAAUUAUUAUCGAGACGAUAAAAAAAAAAAAAAACAAAAAACAAAAAAUCGAAGCGCAUCGGAUCGGCGGCGGGUACUGUUCGGCUAUAUGCAUAUUGCGUAACCGUCGUGUGACAGCUAUGGAAAUGGGGAAAACGGGCACCAGGAGAAAGGAAACGCGGUGAAAAUCGUGUUUAAAAUUAUCCGGUGCGAGCCCGCGACAAGGUCAAGACCGUGCAGUCGAGAUUUUCUUCGUCGUAAUACUAUCGUAUUACACUGUCUCGGAUAUGCAUUUAUAAUGCGUUUCGUUGAAGGAGAGAAAAACUGCCGCGGCCGCGCACCGCGAGGAUCGUUGAAAGCAGUGUGUUCAUAUCGCGUGUUGGCUAUUGAACCGAUGCAGAUUACGGUGGUUUUUUUAUUUGUUUUCAUAAUGUUAUUUCGACACGUUCGAGUAGGUUGAAUAUUACGCGCAGUUGUCCAGCGUCAAAUUUUGAUUUUACCUCUCACUGUUGUAGGUGGGCGCAACCAUUGCUUACGGAAAAACGAUUCUGAGCGGAGUUCAGUUGAUAGUGAUGCUUUGUCAACAAUAUAUAUUUGUCAUAUUAUGGUAAAAUAAUCAAUAAUUAAAUAGGUUAACCCAAAGUUCGCAUUCGUUUUUCGAUUGACCUGGUAGUUAGGGGGGCUGUGAGGGAGUACUUUUUAGAGUUUUACAUUAUUUGUAUUUUUUAUAUCAAUUCGUAUGUUUUAAAGGCUGCAGAAUCCAAAUUCCAUAGAGGUUUUUAAGUAAUUAUAAAAUUGUUGUAGGUAGUU